rnacentral:rRNA from 1 species
GACGAACGCUGGCGGCGUGCUUAACACAUGCAAGUCGAACGGAAAGGCCCUGCUUUUGUGGGGUGCUCGAGUGGCGAACGGGUGAGUAACACGUGGGUAACCUGCCCUUGACUUUGGGAUAACUUCAGGAAACUGGGGCUAAUACCGGAUAGGAGCUCCUGCUGCAUGGUGGGGGUUGGAAAGUUUCGGCGGUUGGGGAUGGACUCGCGGCUUAUCAGCUUGUUGGUGGGGUAGUGGCUUACCAAGGCUUUGACGGGUAGCCGGCCUGAGAGGGUGACCGGCCACAUUGGGACUGAGAUACGGCCCAGACUCCUACGGGAGGCAGCAGUGGGGAAUAUUGCACAAUGGGCGGAAGCCUGAUGCAGCAACGCCGCGUGCGGGAUGACGGCCUUCGGGUUGUAAACCGCUUUCGCCUGUGACGAAGCGUGAGUGGCGGUAAUGGGUAAAGAAGCACCGGCUAACUACGUG